UACGUAGGGUCCAAGCGUUAUCCGGAAUUACUGGGCGUAAAGCGUGUGUAGGCGGGAGUUUUAAGUGCAAUGCGAAAUCUUGUGGCUCAACCAUAUAGACUGUAUUGCAUACUGGACACCUUGAGGAUGGCAGAGGCAAGUGGAAUUUGUAGUGUAGCAGUGAAAUGCGUAGAUAUUACAAGGAACACCAAUGGCGAAGGCAGCUUGCUGGGCCAUAUCUGACGCUGAGACACGAAAGCGUGGGGGAGCGAACAGG
rnacentral:rRNA from 1 species